ensembl:snoRNA
GGCCUGCUAGUUCUUAUUACAAGCUGUGCUCUUACACUGACUGUGUAGAAAGAGCAAGCAGAGCAAACCUACUCCUUUUCCAUCUCAGCCUAGGUCCAGUGCUUGUGUGUGUUAUGAAUGGAGAAGCAUGA